UCGCACCGCUGGGGCAUGCUGGCUGAAUGGGCUGAAUGGGCUGACGCGGCCCCGCUCCCGUCCCAAGGGGCUCUGGAAGAGGAUCCGCCUCCCCCUGAGCCCCGCGGCCGGGGACAGGAUCCGCGGAGGGGCCGGAUCGGGCUGGUUCCCGCCCGGCUGCUCUGCCAGCAGCGGGAACUGCGGGCAGGGAUGGAGCCGCUCCUGCCACCACUCACCCAGUGGCCUUGGCCACAUCCCCGCCCCUCCUCUGCCACACGAGCCAGGGAACGCUCGGCUCAGGCUGGCAGGAAUUCAUGGAGUGAUUGACUUGACGUGACUCUGCUUCUUUCUGUGUGAGAAAAAAAUAGGAACUCUGUGAUGCUGUGGCUCAAUAUCGCUGCCCGGUACCAGAGCAGCUCCUGUGCCACUUGUCACCAGCUCCCCCAGCUCCAUCCGGCCCUGAGCAUCUCCAGCAGCCAUGGGACAGGGGGCAGCUCCCCUGGGAUGUCUGCGCUGCCCCGGCUCAGCCUCUCCUGCAAUGUGGCAUCAGCCGUGGCUCUGCCGGGGAUAAUUCCCGGCUUUUAAGGGAUGAAGCGCGUUGGGCAGGGGAGCUGGUCCCGGCUGCUGGAGCGAUUCCUCGUCAGCAUCUGUCAGGGAAGAUUAAUGCCUAAGUAGGCUGUGGGCUGGCUUCCAGCAGCAUUUUUAAUAAUCAGAUGCUGUGCACUGUUCGAGCAACCCGCGGAAAUGAAGUUGUCUCAUUACCGAAAAGAAAUAAAUAUGUUGAUAUGA